AUUUGUCUGUUACUGAAGUGUGG
rnacentral:piRNA from 1 species